rnacentral:rRNA from 1 species
AGUAACGGCGAGUGAAGCGGCAACAACUCAAAUUUGAAAUCUGGCUCUCGGGCCCGAGUUGUAAUUUGUAGAGGAUACUUUUGAUGCGGUGCCUUCCGAGUUCCCUGGAACGGGACGCCAUAGAGGGUGAGAGCCCCGUCUGGUUGGAUGCCAAAUCUCUGUAAAGUUCCUUCAACGAGUCGAGUUGUUUGGGA